rnacentral:rRNA from 1 species
CCUACGGGAGGCAGCAGUGAGGAAUAUUGGUCAAUGGGCGAGAGCCUGAACCAGCCAAGUCGCGUGAGGGAGUACUGCCCCAUGGGUUGUAAACCUCUUUUGUCGGGGAGCAAAAGCCGGACGUGUCCGGCUGUGAGAGUACCCGAAGAAAAAGCAUCGGCUAACUCCGUGCCAGCAGCCGCGGUAAUACGGAGGAUGCGAGCGUUAUCCGGAUUUAUUGGGUUUAAAGGGUGCGCAGGCGGAUUUUUAAGUCAGCGGUAAAAUCGUGGGGCUCAACCCCAUCCAGCCGUUGAAACUGGGGAUCUAGAGUGUGCGAGAGGUAUGCGGAAUGCGUGGUGUAGCGGUGAAAUGCAUAGAUAUCACGCAGAACCCCGAUUGCGAAGGCAGCAUACCGGUGCACAACUGACGCUCAGGCACGAAAGCGUGGGUAUCGAACAGGAUUAGAUACCCUGGUAGUC